rnacentral:rRNA from 1 species
AAUGAACGCUGGCGGCAUGCCUAACACAUGCAAGUCGAACGGCAGCACCGUGAGUGCUGGCUCUUAGGGGCGGCGAGUGGGGGAAGCGUGACGUAUGCAUCGAAAUCUACUUUGUAGUGGGUGAUAACAUAGGAAAACUUACUCUAAUACCACAUACUUCCUACGUGUAUGAGCACGGGUUCUUUUGGCCUUUCGCGAGUGUAUGAGCCGAUCUCGGAUUAGCUAGUUGGCGGGGGAGAGGCCCACCAAGGCGACGAUCCGUAGCUGGUCUGAGAGGAUGAUCAGCCAGACUGGAACUGAGAAACGGUCCAGACUCCUACGGGAGGCAGCAGUGGGGAAUAUUGGACAAUGGGGGCAAGCCUGAUCCAGCCAUACCGCGUGGGUGAAGAAGGCCUUCGGGUUGUAAAGUCCUUUUGUUGGGAAAGAAAAGCAGCAGGUUAAUACCCCGCUGUUCUGACGGUACCCAAAGAAUAAGCACCGGCUAACUUCGUG